rnacentral:rRNA from 1 species
AGGGAUUGCCCUAGUAACGGCGAGUGAAGCGGCAACAGCUCAAAUUUGAAAGCUAGCCUUCGGGUUCGCAUUGUAAUUUGUAGAGGAUGAUUUGGGGAAGCCGCCUGUCUAAGUUCCUUGGAACAGGACGUCAUAGAGGGUGAGAAUCCCGUAUGUGACAGGAAAUGGCACCCUAUGUAAAUCUCCUUCGACGAGUCGAGUUGUUUGGGAAUGCAGCUCUAAAUGGGAGGUAAAUUUCUUCUAAAGCUAAAUAUUGGCGAGAGACCGAUAGCGCACAAGUAGAGUGAUCGAAAGAUGAAAAGCACUUUGGAAAGAGAGUUAAAAAGCACGUGAAAUUGUUGAAAGGGAAGCGCUUGCAAUCAGACUUGUUUAAACUGUUCGGCCGGUCUUCUGACCGGUUUACUCAGUUUGGACAGGCCAGCAUCAGUUUCGGCGGCCGGAUAAAGGCUCUGGGAAUGUGGCCUCCACUUCGGUGGAGGUGUUAUAGCCCAGGGUGUAAUACGGCCAGCCGGGACUGAGGUCCGCGCUUCGGCUAGGAUGCUGGC